rnacentral:rRNA from 1 species
GCGUGAGCGCACCAAACACCUAAAAUUGUAAUACCACCUGUCAGUAAGUUUUAACAAAACAAAACUUUCAACAACGGAUCUCUUGGUUCUCGCAUCGAUGAAGAGCGCAGCGAAAUGCGAUACCUAGUGUGAAUUGCAGCCAUCGUGAAUCAUCGAGUUCUUGAACGCACAUUGCGCCCCAUGGUAUUCCAUGGGGCAUGCCUGUCUGAGCGUCGUUUCCUUCUUGCGCAAGCAGAGUUGAGAACAGGCUAUGCCUUUUUCGAAAUGGAACGUCGUGGACGAAGUGAACUAAACAUUUAGCACGCUUUGGCCGCCGAACUUUUAACUAAGCUCGACCUCAGAUCAGGUAGGAAUACCCGCUGAACUUAAGCAUAUCAAUAAGCGGAGGAA